CGGGAAGGGUAAGAACCUUCGACUAAGGUUCGACUCGAGCGCCAGCGAGAGAACGUUGCCACAGGCAACGGCCCGAAGGGCGAGGAGCGAUAGCGACGAGUUAUCCUUCCCCCACCACCA
rnacentral:sRNA from 1 species